AGAGUUUGAUCCUGGCUUAGGACGAACGCUGGCGGCGCGCCUAACACAUGCAAGUCGAACGAGAGGGAGGGAGCUUGCUUCCUUGAUCGAGUGGCGAACGGGUGAGUAACGCGUGAGGAACCUGCCUCAAAGAGGGGGACAACAGUUGGAAACGACUGCUAAUACCGCAUAAGCCCACGACCCGGCAUCGGGAAGAGGGAAAAGGAGCAAUCCGCUUUGAGAUGGCCUCGCGUCCGAUUAGCUAGUUGGUGAGGUAACGGCCCACCAAGGCGACGAUCGGUAGCCGGACUGAGAGGUUGAACGGCCACAUUGGGACUGAGACACGGCCCAGACUCCUACGGGAGGCAGCAGUGGGGAGUAUUGCACAAUGGGGGAAACCCUGAUGCAGCGACGCCGCGUGGAGGAAGAAGGUCUUCGGAUUGUAAACUCCUGUUGUUGAGGAAGAUAAUGACGGUACUCAACAAGGAAGUGACGGCUAACUACGUGCCAGCAGCCGCGGUAAAACGUAGGUCACAAGCGUUGUCCGGAAUUACUGGGUGUAAAGGGAGCGCAGGCGGGCGAUCAAGUUGGAAGUGAAAUCCAUGGGCUCAACCCAUGAACUGCUUUCAAAACUGGUCGUCUUGAGUAGUGCAGAGGUAGGCGGAAUUCCCGGUGUAGCGGUGGAAUGCGUAGAUAUCGGGAGGAACACCAGUGGCGAAGGCGGCCUACUGGGCACCAACUGACGCUGAGGCUCGAAAGUGUGGGUAGCAAACAGGAUUAGAUACCCUGGUAGUCCACACCGUAAACGAUGAAUACUCGCUGUUUGCGAUAUACAGUAAGCGGCCAAGCGAAAGCAUAAGUAUUCCACCUGGGGAGUACGCCGGCAACGGUGAAACUCAAAGGAAUUGACGGGGGCCCGCACAAGCGGAGGAACAUGUGGUUUAAUUCGAUGAUACGCGAGGAACCUUACCCGGGCUUAAAUUGCAACAGAAUAUAUUGGAAACAGUAUAGCCGUAAGGCUGUUGUGAAGGUGCUGCAUGGUUGUCGUCAGCUCGUGCCGUGAGGUGUCGGCUUAAGUGCCAUAACGAGCGCAACCCUUGUCUUUAGUUACUAACAGGUUAUGCUGAGGACUCUAGAGAGACUGCCGUCGUAAGAUGUGAGGAAGGUGGGGAUGACGUCAAAUCAGCACGGCCCUUACGUCCGGGGCUACACACGUGUUACAAUGGGGGGUACAGAAGGCGGCUACCUGGUGACAGGAUGCUAAUCCCAAAAACCUCUCUCAGUUCGGAUCGAAGUCUGCAACCCGACUUCGUGAAGCUGGAUUCGCUAGUAAUCGCGCAUCAGCCAUGGCGCGGUGAAUACGUUCCCGGGCCUUGUACACACCGCCCGUCAAGCCAUGAAAGCCGGGGGUACCUGAAGUACGUAACCGCAAGGAGCGUCCUAGGGUAAAACUGGUAAUUGGGGCUAAGUCGUAACAAGGU
rnacentral:rRNA from 1 species